GAGUUUGAUCAUGGCUCAGGACAAACGCUGGCGGAAUGUAUUAGGCAUGCAAGUCGUACGAACCUUCGGGUUAGUGGCGAACGGGUGAGUAACACGUGGGUAACCUGCCUCGUAGUGGGGAAUAACUCGCCGAAAGGCGAGCUAAUACCGCAUAACACCCCUGGUGAGAUUCCAGGUGGUAAAAGCUCCGGCGCUAUGAGAGGGGCCCGCGGUCGAUUAGCUAGUUGGUGGGGUAAUGGCCUACCAAGGCGACGAUCGAUAGCUGGUCUGAGAGGAUGGUCAGCCACACGGGGACUGAGAUACGGCCCCGACUCCUACGGGAGGCACGGCAGCUAAGAAUCUUGCGCAAUGGGCGAAAGCCUGACGCAGCAAUUCCGCGU
rnacentral:rRNA from 1 species